AGUCAAUAGAUACCCGGGUAGUCCACGCCCUAAACGAUGCGAACUGGAUGUUGGGUGCAACUUGGCAUUCAGUAUCGAAAGCUAACGCGUUAAGUUCGCCGCCUGGGGAGUACGGUCGCAAGACUGAAACUCAAAGGAAUUGACGGGGGCCCGCACAAGCGGUGGAGUAUGUGGUUUAAUUCGAUGCAACGCGAAGAACCUUACCUGGCCUUGACAUGCACGGAACUUUCCAGAGAUGGAUUGGUGCCUUCGGGAACCGUGACACAGGUGCUGCAUGGCUGUCGUCAGCUCGUGUCGUGAGAUGUUGGGUUAAGUCCCGCAACGAGCGCAACCCUUGUCCUUAGUUGCCAGCACGUAAUGGUGGGAACUCUAAGGAGACCGCCGGUGACAAACCGGA
rnacentral:rRNA from 1 species